rnacentral:rRNA from 1 species
AAUCAACGCUGGCGGCGUGCCUCAGACAUGCAAGUCGAACGAUUAAAGCUCUCUUCGGAGAGUGUAUAGAGUGGCGCACGGGUGAGUAACACGUAAGUAAUCUACCUUCGAGUGGGGAAUAACGUCCGGAAACGGACGCUAAUACCGCAUAAUGCAGCGGCAUCGCAAGAUGACAGUUGUUAAAGAUUUAUCGCUUGAAGAGGAGCUUGCGGCAGAUUAGCUAGUUGGUAAGGUAACGGCUUACCAAGGCUACGAUCUGUAUCCGGUCUAAGAGGACGGUCGGACACACUGACACUGAAUAACGGGUCAGACUCCUACGGGAGGCAGCAGUCGGGAAUUUUGGGCAAUGGGCGAAAGCCUGACCCAGCAACGCCGCGUGAAGGAUGAAGUAUUUCGGUAUGUAAACUUCGAAAGAAUAGGAAGAAUUAAUGACGGUACUAUUUAUAAGGUCCGGCUAACUACGUGCCAGCCGCCGCAGUAAC